AGACAGCAGCAGCCGCGGUAAUACGUAGGGUGCAAGCGUUAAUCGGAAUUACUGGGCGUAAAGCGUGCGCAGGCGGUUAUAUAAGACAGAUGUGAAAUCCCCGGGCUCAACCUGGGAACUGCAUUUGUGACUGUAUAGCUAGAGUACGGCAGAGGGGGAUGGAAUUCCGCGUGUAGCAGUGAAAUGCGUAGAUAUGCGGAGGAACACCGAUGGCGAAGGCAAUCCCCUGGGCCUGUACUGACGCUCAUGCACGAAAGCGUGGGGAGCAAACAGGAUUAGAUACCCGGGUAGUCCCUGUCUCUUAUAC
rnacentral:rRNA from 1 species